rnacentral:rRNA from 1 species
AUUUUGGACAAUGGGGGAAACCCUGAUCCAGUCAUCUCGCGUGUAUGAUGAAGGCAUUCGGUUUGUAAAGUAAUUUUGGCCGAGAAGAAAAGGUAUCCCCUAAUACGGGAUACUGCUGACUGUAUCUGCAGAAUAAGCGCUGACGAACUACGUGCAAGCAGCCGCGGUAAUACGUAGGGUGCAAGCGUUAAUCGGAAUUACUGGGCGUAAAGCGUGUGUAGGCGGUUCGGAAAGAAAGAUGUGAAAUGCAGGGCUCAACCUUGGAACUGCAUUUUUAACUGCCGAGCUAGAGUAUGUCAGAGGGGGGUAGAAUUCCACGUGUAGCAGUGAAAUGCGUAGAUAUGUGGAGGAAUACCGAUGGCGAAGGCAGCCCCCUGGGAUAAUACUGACGCUCAGACACGAAAGCGUGGGUAGCAAACAGG